rnacentral:rRNA from 1 species
UACGAAGGGGGCUAGCGUUGCUCGGAAUCACUGGGCGUAAAGGGCGCGUAGGCGGAUCUUUAAGUCGGGGGGUGAAAUCCUGGAGCUCAAUUCCAGAACUGCCUUUGAUACUGGCGAUCUUGAGUCCGGGAGAGGUGAGUGGAACUGCGAGUGUAGAGGUGAAAUUCGUAGAUAUUCGCAAGAACACCAGUGGCGAAGGCGGCUCACUGGCCCGGUACUGACGCUGAGGUGCGAAAGCGUGGGGAGCAAACAGGGAGUUA